AGGCCCCUCGGUGCUUUCAGGGGCGGCUCCCGGGCGGGACCUCACAGCCUCGGGGGUCGAGAGGUGCGCCAAAGCUAAGGAAGGCAGCUGGGUGUUCCCAAGCACCCCGGGGGUUCGGACACUUCCCGUGACCGUGUGCUGUGGCCAUCGACUGGGGCCCGGGGCUCAGCCCUGGAGCCGGGGCCGUGGAAGGUCUAUGGGAAGAUCGCGGGGUCAGCAGCCGCGUGUGUGAGGCGGGCAGGCGGCUGUGGAGGCUCGGCCCCGAGGUGGGCGCAGGGCCUGAGAUGGGUGCGGGGCCUGAGAUGGGCACAGGCCCUGAGAUGGGCACAGGGCCCGAGAACCUGAGGCAAAUGGAAUCUUCUCGCCCUGGUGAAGAAAGACGCGUAAAUGUCUUGGAUGGUAUCUUUCCUUCCCUGACUUUGAAGUGAGGCGAAGACAAGCCAAGUGGCCUAAACUGAUAAUAAGCACCCUUGAGUGUGCUGGUAGCUCCGAGUCAACAAGUGUCCAGAACAUCGUGAGUGUUGGGAGACGGGGCUGUGAAGCCGUUUUGGACGGAAAGUCGUGUACAGCAGAGUCAGGUCCAGAAGCGAAAGUCUCAGGAGACGAGGUGACGUUCUGGAGAUCAUCAGGCCGCCGCGGGGAUCUAAAUCCAAGACUCCAACCUUUGCUUCCUUCUCUCUUCCUUCUCUUCCCCCUAACGGUCACCCUGUGGUGUCACUGGUUGGUGGAGGAACGUAGAGGCCCCGAGAAUUAAGGGCAACCCCUUCUGCCUUUGAGGGACUUCCAGUCUAGGAGGGAGGUGAGCGGGUGAAAGGACGAGCGGACGAUCCUUGACAACAUGCUCAGGGGGACGAACAAAGGCUUCCAUGCAAGUCUAACUGCACCCUGGCCUGCACCCUGUGCUUCCAAGGCCCCACCCCUCACCCCCUGUGGGACCUGGGGCAUGUCCCUAACCUCCUGAAGCCCCAGUUUCCUCAUGUGGAGGACCACCUCUUUGGGUCGCCGUGGAAGCAUUCAGUAUAGAGCCGGGCACACAGUCGGUGCUCAGUCGUUGGAAGCAGAAACUCAACCCUCCAGAAACACUACCUCCUCCCCUUAUACUUCCCGUGGGGACCCCGCCAUCUGCAACGUAGAUUGCCACCUGCUUGCCCUUCAGUCCUCGUAAGAGCUUUCACAGCUAACUAGGAAGAUUCGGAGUGAAUAUUCACUGAAGAAGUGGCUUCAGGGUGGAUCAGUAUGAGACCAACAAGCACAGGACACCUCGGAUACGCCCGGGACUGUUCUGGCACCUUGCUGGCCCUGCGUAACCCGUAUAACACGGACGCUGUCUGCACACCAGCUCCAUUAUCAUCUCCAUUUACAGAUCAGGAAACCGGGGUCCAGAGGACGCUGAAUACCUCGCCCCACGUCGUAGGGAGGGCGGGACUCAGCCGGGAUGAGGCCCACUCGGCCGGGCCUGGAGCGGGGCUCUACGCGGACACCGCGGCCCUCACCGACAGGCGGCCUGACGAAUGGAUCUCGGGAUACGGGGCCAGGUAACCCUCCUUCUUACAGACCCUGAAGCUGAGGCGGACAGAGGGCAGCCGACUUGCCGGAGCUCACACGGUCGGCUUUAGGGGUAAAUGUCCGGGGGGUGGCAGGGUCCCUCUUCUCUGCCCCUUUGGAAUUAGAUGUAGCCUAGUGACCUAUUUGACACCAUAAAGUGUUGGUAGAAGUUGCCUGGAGCUCAGCGGGAUGGGAGCUUGAAGAACUUGCCUCCUGUCCUCGAAGCACACGGUGAAGGUGAAAUGAAGCUUCUGUCCCUCCGGGUCCCCGAGCGACUAGACGAGCAGGGCCCACCUGGCAACCAGGGUACCGAGUGGGCGACACGUGCUCAUACGCGAAGCUCGUGAGACGGGGGCGGGAUUGUCGUCACAGCAGAGCCUGGGUUCCCCCGACCAGACUCGCACCGCUGGGAGCAGGAGCUCGGGCAGCCAAGGCCUCGUCCGGCUUCCCGUGGCCUUACCUGCGGCGUGGGCGGCCGCGCUCCGGAGCCUCACCCACCAGGGACGUGGCCCCCUCACCCACUGCACUAUUCUUGGAUUGCAGGAGCCGAUCGCUCACGGCACGAAGGGAAGACAGCUGCAGAAUUCCAGCCGCCGACAGGAGGUUUUAGACGGACAUGGACAGCUUGGCUCUGCUGGCUGAUGGAGCAGACACGGCCUUCCCCAAAGCGCUGUCCCGGACCGGCUUCUCUUAGUAAAGAGAGCAUCGUCGCGAGAACGAGCUUUUCAUAAAGUAUUGAGGUCAGCAACACCUCAAUGCUAAAGAUGUAAAGUCAAGGUUAACUGACCAGAGUCUUCUCCAUGUCGUAGGCUGGUGCCCUCUGCCUCACCAACUCCUGCCCCUCCAACGCGGUGUCACCUCCUCUGAGAAGCCCGCUCUAACUCCUUCAGCCAAACUGAACACUCCCCACCUUUGGAGCCCUGUUGAAAUUAUGGAUCUCGCCCCACUGUCUUCUACCUUAGGCUCAUGACACCACUGGGUGACUGCCUUUUUCCACCAGGCCACACCAGCAAGGAUCUUUUAUAGCCGGUAAAGCUGGAUCUAUAUCUAUGCCUACCUAGCCGUUCAUCCUCACGCACACUCGGUCACACGCACACGUGGUCAGACGGGCACCUGUAUAAACACGAACAUAAACACGCACAGGGGUAUAUUUCCGAUAAUUCAGCUCCAUUAGAGAGAGUUGAGUUUUUGCCCCAUCAGAAGAAUAGAUCAAGACUUGGAAAACCUCUGCUUUUCUUCCCUUGCUUUGAAAAGAUAAAGAAAUGUGAAUGCUAAAUGGGAACAGGGGAUGAGAAGGAGAUAAGCUUGGGAACGGAGAAAGGAGAUGAGAAAGGCUAAAUACACGAUCUCACUUAACCCUCGGAGCAACCCGGCUGGGAGCUUCGCUUUACAGUUGAGAAAAGGGGGCCUGGGAGGGUUAAGUGCCACAUCCAGGGUCGCAGAGCCAGGUUGGAUCCUCGCUUGGCCCGGUUCUGAAGUCGGUGCUUUUCCUGCAAAGCUAGGCGGUGUGCCCCUUGCCAGCCGUGGGGUGGCGGGGAGCGGGACACGCUCUGAGCCGGGUUACAGGUGCUGGAUUCUGGUCCUACCACUUCCUCCUGAUGUGACCUGGGGUAGGUUACCUCCCUCUAGGCCUCAUUUCAUCCCCAACAAGACGGGAGGGAGACAUGGAGAAUCAUUCAGGAGGAGCCUGUGAACGUGAACAGACCCUCCAGCAAGUGAAGCCCUGAGAGAAGCUCCCGGCGCAGAAUUAGGGCAGCCCAGUGGGAGCUGUAACCCUUCCCGUGAAGGCCGCACCGGCCCCCGCAGAUCCAGGAGGAGCCCCGCUCCCUCCAAACCCGACGCGGCCUCUGUCCCCCAGCCCCAGGCCAGGACCCCGCCCGGGCCCCAGCCGCUCACGUCCCCACAGCCUAGGUUCCCACCCUUUCUGCAGGGGACUUUAGCUAGGGCAAGGUGGACCUUGGAUGACAGGAAAUACAUCUUGUAGAAAACCAGCAAAAGCAAAACUCUUCAGGGGCGCCCGGGGGCUCAGCGGUGAAGCAUCUGCCUUCAGCCCAGGGUGUGACCCCGGGGUCCCGGGAUCGAGUCCCGCAUCAGGCUCCCUGC